CUUUUGCUCAAUUUCAACCAACUUCUUUCCAAACCUCUUAUAGGCCUCUACUGGUUGUGAGUCUGAAGUCCAUAGAUCACCUUCAAUUCUCUGUCCAAGGUAUUGCUCAUCAGAAGCGUGCCUAGACAAGAUCUCUAUAAUGGUGAGGUCAGUAAGGGUAUCAUUCUUUGGUGUGAUUGUCCUCAAAUAUAACUUUUGGAAGUCAUCAGAAAGAUCAUCAUACUCUGGAGAUCCUUUUUCAGGCAUGAAUCUCCUGCUUUUAGUUGGUCGGUUAAGGAUAUAUCCUCCAUAUGGAUAUUGUCCAAAAUUAACAGCUGCAUGAAGUGCUGAAGCAAUCCAUAUGAGAAUGGUGCAAGCUUCAAUCAACUCUUUACGAGUUUGCAUCUUGAACCACCAUGUAGCAUUCUUCAAGUCACCAUGACCAACCUCAACAAGUUCUUUCCAAAAUGCUUGGAGUUCAGAAUCUUGUGCAAUAGCAUCAUCUGACUUGUAGUAAAAAUUCACAUAUUCUUCAACCCAUGACUUGAUAGCAGCCCAUAUUUCUAGUCCAUCAGAAGCAUAAGGGUAGUCUUCUAUUAGAAGGCGAAUGCCAUAUGGUGAGGAUGGAUCCUCAACAGCCACUCCCCUAUAUAACAAGCAAGGAAGAUAUAAUUAAAAUAUAAAAAUUAUAUCAAUAUCUUUUUUAACAAAUUAAUGGAAUGGCCCAUGGAUGAAAUAUUUUGUAAUUAAGGUUACCUUUUGAGUAAAUCAUAAGGUAGUCCUUGCUCAGUGAAAACCCAAUCCUUGUAAACAGCUGAAGACAUUUCCAAAGCAUAUUCUCCCCACAAGAAUGUUGAUUCUAUAAUACCCUCAGCAUUGACAAGGACAUUUCGUGCAAGUGCAUUUAUGUUCAUUGUAUCACGAUAAUGUGGAAGUAAAAGUUUAUGAAUAGGAUGAACCACACUAAGAUGUCUAUUUGUAGCAAUGAUGAAUGGCUCAACAACAGCGUGAGUAUUCAACCUGUCACAGAUAUAAAUAUAUCCAUGAAUUACUCAAAGAUAGAUAAAACAUUGUAUAAACAUCAUUAAUGAAACUCAUACCAAUGGCUAACAAGUUGGUGAUAACACGAGUCAUUUACGACAACAUAAGCCUUGCAAAGUAUCCACAUUGCAGCUUCAACACCUUCGAUUCCGGACAUGUAUACAUUACUAACAGGACCAAAACUAUCACCUUGAGGAUGUGGCCUACUUAGCUCAAUCGCCAAUGGAUUCAAUGUUCCAUCAUCUUGCAAGAAAAGAAUGGUUCUUGUAGCAUAGGCCUUAGUGUCGGUUGCAUUUAUUUUCCUCAAAUAUGGAAAAAGUGGAUCGUGGUGAUCAAGUAUAUACAAUCUAUUAUUUUGGAUGGCCUGUUUCAUUUGAAUAAAAACAAUCAAUUUUGAUGAAAAAGAAUAAUAUAAUGAACCCUUUUGGGGAGUGUCCAAUUGUCUUACCUGUUCUACGGUGACCCCAUUCAUGUUUGGCUCUAAGUGUUUUUUGGUUAUUGUGCUAGUAUUAUCACCAUAGAUUUGACUAUCUAACUUGCUCUUUGGUGGAAAUUCCUAAAUUAAUUGUAGCAAGAAAUGAGGUCAAUUACCAAAUAUAAUUAUAGCACAAAAAGAGAUAAAUAAUAAUGUUUAAUUUUCCAUACUUGCUUAACAAUGUUAAACUAUGAAGUUUACCUUAAGUAUUUUGAUGAUGUGUGGAUUUACACCAGCAAUCAUCUCCCUUGCAAAUUCUGAAUCAUUCAUCCAUGCAAGAUCGUCCACUGCUCAUGAUAAAAACAAUUCAAUGGAAAAGUGAACAUCUUUUUUAUGAUUUACGAUGUAAAUAUAUUUAUAGAACUAGGAACUUGCAAGUAAUAUAUACCUUGAACCACUUUAGGUGGUGGAAAUUUAAGUGCCGAUUCACCAUCACUUCGGAAAAGUUCGGUAAACAAUGGUAUUGGACUAAUUUCGCUUAAUAUGUUAGUAGGAAGUUUAAUUCCACCAUCAUAGAGCGAUGUUACAUCGUCAAAAUCUUUAAAUUCAGGUUCAUUAAGUUGUAAUGUAACUACAGAUCUUAACCGAGGUAUGAUAUUUUGAGAUGCUGAUUUGAGUAUGUAAACAAGAAAAUCUGAUGACUUUAAGUGACCAAAUGAUUCAUCUCUUGGAAGGUAAACAACGUCGCUCCGACUCUCACUCUUAGGAUCUGUUCACGUGUAAAAUAACAAAAUAUGUUAUAUAAACUACACUAAUAUUUUUUAAAUCACAAGUAGAGUAAACAUUGUAUGAACAAAAAGACACAUUGUUAUACUCCAAAAAAAUGGCACAUAUUAGUAUAGUUAGUUAGUCUUAAUUUCAAUUAUGUCAAGGUACCAUUAAACAACCUGUAUUAGUCACUAGUGACAAAAAACAUUACAUACAAAGUUACUUUAAAUACAAUUUCACAUUUUAGUACAAUAUUAUUGGAUUUGUACUAAAAUAUACGUUAAAAGUAAAAUAGAAGGCUUAACCUUUGUUAGUUGGUUUUCUUCCGGUUCUACCCCUUCGAGGAUAAGGAAGGGUGCUCGAUCCUCCAAGAAUUGGACGAGCUAAGGUACUUUUCUUGUCAGGCUCACCCAAAUCAUUGUAGACAUCAUAAUCAUAUAUUCUUUCCCAUUCUUUACGCUCUCCGGUUCCAUCUCCUCUUAAAGUUUUCAAUUCUUCCUUUCUAUAGUACACUAAUGGAGCUGGUGUUUCACUUGGAAGAUAUGUCUACAUAAAUUUAAUCAUUCAUAACCUCAAAUUUCACAAACAAUAAUUUAUAUAUAUAACAGUUUUAAUAAAUAUAUUUAACAAAGUAAGAUAAAAUUUAUAUACUUAAUUACCUUGUUGGCAAAGAAAAUGCGACCAGUUUUGUACUUUUUAGAAUUGUAAACCCAUGAGUUGCAAACAAAGUUGAUGGUUUCAUGGUUUGGAACAUUUUCAAGAGUCAAACUCACAAGGAAGAAUUCACCUUGCAUAAAAUUAUCGAUAUAAAAAGCUCCUGGAAUUCCCAUAUCACUGUCCCAUUCAAAAUGAAUACUGAAAGCAGUUUGUUUGUCUCCCAAUGUUGGUAAAGAGGUAAGAAGACCUUCCAAAAAUGUUUGCUUUCCUACUUUUCCUUUUCCAGUUCCUAUUAAAAUGUCAAAUUUUGGAUUCCCAAUUUCAUUAAUCAUCAUUCUAAAUUGAUUAUUUAUAACUAAUAUUCUAAAUAAAAAAUAACACGAAACUAAGGUCAAUCUUAAUGGACUGAGGGGUAAAACUCUUAAAAAAUAUAAGAUAAAAUUACUUACACUUGAUAAAACUAAGAAUAAUUAUUUUUUACUUCUUAAUAUAAGGCCAGUUAUAUAUGAUCGUAUUAAAAUUUUAUAUUACAUAAGACAAUUUCUAGUUGUGACUUUCUUUUAUGUAAUACCCAGCAAAUCUAGGACUCUAGAUCAACGGUGGAUAGUAUAUUUUAAAAAAAUAAUUAUCAAAGUAAAAGCCUAAACUGAUUUUUUUUAGAAAAAAUAUAUUGAAACCAUGCUACAUUGGUCCUUGGAAAAAAAUAGUCACAUAUUUUGAUCCGAAAUCACUUUUCUCUUUACAUCUUUUUUAUUUAUCUUGUUAUUUAAAUAAAUGAUAUCUAUAUAGAUCUACUUUUUAUUUAUAUUUUCAUGUUAUUUUGCUGAUUAAAUGAAAAGUUAUUAGAUUUUUAUGAUCUCGUUUAAGUAUUUUUUUUUGUUUAAAUUAACUUUGAUUCAAUAUAGAUAUAUAUAUAUAUCAAUAACUCCAAUGUCAUCAAUGUUUACAAGUUCGAAGAUAAAAUUAUUUCAGCUACUUUAAUUUUAUCAAAUUUAUAAAUAUUUUGUCCUCUUAUACUAUUAAUCCGAAUAUUAAUCUUAUUUACAAGUUUACCGUUUUUAAUUUUAAGGAAUUUUUAUUUGCGUAGUUCUCAAUUGAUAUAUUUUAUUAAUUUGAAUGAAAUGUAUAUCAUUGUUUAAUAAAAAAUAAAAUUGCUUAAUUAAAUUAUAUAUUAAAAUAGGGAGAGUGAGAAAGAGAAUUGUUAUUACCAUCGUCAGUUGUAGCACUGAUCAACUUGAAAGCAAUAGAACGACCCAAGAAAGAAGUGGCGGUAUCAAGUAAAGAGCCGGCGAUAUCUCCGAUAGCGCCGAUGGCACCACCGAUUAUACCACCGGGGCUUUGAACUGCAGUGAGAGCGUUGAUGUCCAAAACAUUCUUUUGCAUCAACACCACAGUUCCUUUCAGCUUUUCGCCUCUGUUAAAAAUACCUUUCACCAAUGAAGCCAUCAAGCUAUGUUAAUUAAUUCACUUUCUUUGACAAAUGUAAGAAAAGCUCGUGUCUUGUAACCAUGGAGUGUGCUUAGUAUUUAUAGACUAUCGUAGUUGUCAUAAGAAGGUUAGAUCACUAAAAAUAUACUUUUUUAUUCAUUAUUUGACAACAUGUGAAAAUACAUUGGGACACAUCUCUUCAGCUAUUUUUUUUAUUUAUUUAUUAAAUUUUAUUUAUUAAAAAAUGUAGGAUGAUAAAAUAAUGUCUCAACUUAAGUUAGUGAAGAUUUUAUAGUUGAUUGAACACUUACAAAUAAUUUACAUUUGCGUUCUUUAAUAAUAUUAGAGGAUAUUUAGGAUAUCGAAUUUAAGAGAGAGAAUAGGUUGGGCCGAUGUAGAGUUUGUUAGGCUUGUAAAAAAAUUCAAGGUUUAAGUCUAGUUUGUCGGUUACAGACUUACUUUUUAAGUCUGAGUUUGACAUUGAUAAAAGUUGUGAUAGAAGUCUGGUAUUAUAUUAUCUGUUAUCAUACUUAAAAGCCUAAUUCAUUUCAAUAUUUUUGAAUAAAUAAUAAAAUAUAUAUUUAAAUAAAUUAAUGAAUUAAUAUGUCAAUAAAAUUAAGUUCUAUUUUGAUAUUUAACAUUAUAUUUUGAAGAAUAUGAUUUUAUAAAUAUAAAACUUAAAUUAUAUUUUAUAAUAAUACAUUUAAAUAUGUCAAAAACUAAAUGAUAUUAAUAUGCUAAAUUAUUAAAAGUUGAAUAUAUAAUAAAAAAAAAUCAAAAUUUAGUAUAAGAAUUAUACUGGUAAAAAAAUAUUAUUUAUAUUUAUUUAAAUAAGUCGACCUAAUAGCUCAAUAAAUUUAUCAGGUAGUUUGAUCUUUUUAACUAAUCUAUUUUAAAAAAAAAAAGUCUAACAUGAUCUAGACCUGACAUAUACUAUUAAUCUGAUCUAUUUUCAUCUUUAAUUCGAUCUAAUACCUAUUUUUUAGUGUUGUAUUAAUGUUGUUUCUUGUGCAAUUUUAUAUUUAUCGUGAUUAUCUCGUGGCUUAUAAAAUAAUAAUGUCAUUUGCAUAAUUAUUUUGAUUGUUCUUAUAUGUACCAGCUUUUACGUUAUGGGUAAUCAUGAGUCUAUUGCACUAUUGUUAAUUACGUUCUUACCUGUAAGCCGACCAAAAUAUUCCUUUUUUAUUUUUUUUAUUUUUUUAUUUUCAUACUCUUGUUUAGAAGUAAAUUUCAAAUUUAACCCUUAAUCUCACUUAUUCACUAAUUAAUUUAUUAAAGUAUUCUAAUUUAAUAUUUCUAAUGUUAAUCACGUUUUUGUUUUGUUUUAAGGGAUGGGUAACUUAAGAGUUAUCUUUAUAUCAUGGUAUAGAAAAUAUAAUUUAAAUUAUAUUUUAUUUUAUCUUAAAUCUAAAAUAAUGACAUUAUUUAACUAUUUCACAUAAAUUAAAAAAAUUAUUAUUAAUUAAAAUUUUCUUUUUAAUCAUUGAUGUAUUCUAUUUACCACAAAUAUAAAAUAGUGAAUAAUAAAUUGAUAGUGAUUAAUAUAAUUUAAUACUUAAUUGUAGUUCUGGACCCUUUGUUUUUAUCAAUUAAAAAAAUUGAUAUAUUUAUUUUAAAAUUCGACAGUUGUUGUCCUUCUAUAAAAAUUUUGAACUAAUAAAAAUGACAAUUUAAGGUAUUUUAAAUAAUGUGAGAUUCAAUUACAUGAUAUAGAAUCACCUAGAUAAAUUAAUUAUUUAUAUAUGUCAUUAAUUAAAUUAUAAAUAUGAAGAAAAAAAAUUGAAGUUGAAAGUUACAUUUUUAUAGUGUUUUAUUUUGAUUUUAUAAAUGUUAAUCAUUCUACGCCAUUUUAUCAUAUGACAUAUUAUUUAAAACAUGUAACGUGACCAUUUUUUAGUUAAAAAAUAGAGGGUCCAAAUUGUCAACUUUUAAAAUAUGAAAUUAGUUUCGUGAAUCAGUAGAAAUAUGAGAACUAAAACUAAAAUCAAACUUAAUAUUAAUUAGAUAAUACAGUUAAAAAAAAUUAAAAUUACAUUAAAAAAUGAUGUAAUUUAUACAUACAAUAUAAAUAAUUUUUAUAUUAUCAAUCAAUAACACAACCGUUAUAUUAUUAGAGGUAUUUAAAUUUUAUCAAAUUAUCUUUAAAAUUAUAUUCAUAAAUACAUAUGUACUUAUGAUAUAUUAAUAGUAUAAAUUUUUUAGAUAGUACAUAACAAUUAAUUUUGCGAUGUUCAGACGUGUUGACCCAAAUGACAUUCCUACAAAAAUUCUUGAAAUUCCUACAAAAAUGCUUUUAGUCUCUUCACAAACGGAUGUAGGAAUAAUCAUAACCUGAGGUUGCCCCACCUAUCUUAAUUAAAAAUUUAAAAACUAACUUGGUGAGAUUUGAAAAUCUUAAAGCAAAAUAUUAUAUCAAUAAAUAUACAUCAUGUGCGUGUACGGUGUAUGGUAAAUCCUUUUGGAAAGAUUUAUUCGUACAAACACAUAGCAUAUCACAUAUGUUAUUUAGACAUAAUAUAUACUAUUAGUUAAUGUCUUUUUUUCAUCGUAAUCAUACGAGUAAAGAGAACAUAUUAAUAAAAAAAAUUCAAAACUGUAUGUUAAUAUGGUUUUUGAUGUCGAAAUUUAUGUCAAAAUAUUAUUUCUGCAUAGUACAUAUAAAUAAAGAUUAUGAUAUAAUUUUUGAAAAAUUAAAAGAUUAUUAAAUAUUUAUUUUAUUUAUAAGUGUAUGUUUUUUUAGUUUUUCAUAAGUUAUUUUCACCAAAUGUAAUCUGUUAUGUUAGAUAUUAAAGUUGAUACAUCUUUUGAUGAAAAUUCAAACUUCAACAUGUUAAGUGCACAACAAAGCCUGGAUAAAACACAUUAAACAACUUUUAUCAUUUUAAGAGAUUUAUUUCAAAUAUGUCAGCUACAUAUACCAUUUAUGUGAUGGCCAUUUUUAAAUAGUAUAUUAUAAUAGUUUAACUUUAAUUUUUUUUUUUGUGUGACUAUUAUGUUUCCUAUUUUGGAUUAUUUACCAAUAAUAUAAAUUAUGUAAAUGUUAUAAAAAUGUAUAAUUGAUUUUGGAAACAAAUAUUAUUUCCAUAAAUAAAUUGAAGUUAUCAAAUAAUAUUUUGGGACAGAAACGGUAGUAAUUAUUAUAAGCAUGUUUUACAAAAUAAUUUUUUUAAUAUUCUAAAUAAUAAGUUAUUGAUGUAAUUAAUUUGAGGUUAAAUAUAUCCCCUUAAAUUUAAUUACAUUAAUUAAAUAGUGCAAAUUUUAUAAAACUAUUUUUGUAUUAAUAAUUCAUUUGUGCCAAAUUAUAUGUCAUUUUUCCAAUUUCACAUAAAUUAAAAAAUAUUAUCAAUGUUGUAUAAAAAAGAGAAAUUAUGAUUUGUUUUAUAAAAUAUCGUUCAUUAAUGAUAUAAGAACGAUAAAUUUAAAACAUUGAGAAAAAAAAAAAACAAAGUAAUACAUAGUAAAAAGUUUAAUAGCAAAAGAAACAUUAAUAAUUUAGUGAUACCGGAAAACAAUAUCAUUUAGAAAGAAAUUAUUGAACACUUAUCUAACCAUUAAUAGUCGAACAUAAUUAAUCAAAUAUCAAAUAAUUAUAAGCAAUAAAAAUAAUUAUAAAAUUCUAAUUUGUCAAAAUAGCAAAAGAAACACAUCAUCGUUUUUCCUCUUAACUUCAUAGUAUCCAGUGCAACAUCCUCAACUCUCACUAUAUCGACAUAUGAAAAUUAAAGCGAAUCUUAAUUCUUUCAAACCUCUCUUUGAAUACAUGAGUGACAUUGACUUGAAUCCCCAAAGAUUAAGUUCACCCUUUAUAUUUUUUUUAACCUAUUAAAUAUAGUUUUUAUUAAAUAUUUCAAUGGUUAACAUUUGUCAAAUAAAAUAACAAAAAUAACAAAAUCAUACAGUUAUUUUAAAAAAUCAUUUAUGUAAUAUAGUAAAAAAGAAAAUAUUAAUGUUUUAUUCACUACACUAUUAUUUAAAAUAAUAAGGACCAUAAUUAUAACUCAUACUAAUAGAAUUUUAACACGUGUAUCACACGUACUUAUAUCAAUGGUAAUCUAUUCUGCAUCAAUUACCAUUAACAACAUAAACAACAUAACUUGUAUAAAACAAAUACUAUAAGUCAUUCAGUUUAAGAAAUAGAGUUCAAUUUAUUAUUUGAUAUUGUCACCCAUUUAAUCAAUCACUGCUCUUUUAUUCAAUUACAAAUAUGAUUAAUAUUUUAAAAUAUCUUGAAAUUAUUUUUUCAAUUGUGUUACUUUAAGAGCAUCCUAAUUUUGGUACUUUAAGAGCAUUCACUUAAGUUUAUCUACUUAUUUUAAAUGAUUUUGAUGAUUUUGAAAGGAUUUUAUCAUUUUGUAUAACUUUUUUAAAAGAGAUUUAAAAAUAAAAGUUUUAAAUAAGAAAUUAGUUUGAAUAGCUUCUAUUUUAAGUAUUUCAUCAUUUUAUUACAAAUUUUUUUAGAUGAUAAAAUUUCAAAAAUUGUUUAAAAUAUGAAGCUAUUAAUUUUGAGUAGUUUCUCAUAAAAAUCAUUUUCAAGAUGUAUUUUUUUUUAAAACAAUAAUUUUUUUAUUUUUUUUAAAUAUUUAUAUUAUUAAAUAUUAAAAUUAUUAUUUUUAAAUCUAUAACAUAUAACUCUUAAACAACUUUUAUUGUUUUUGAAUAGGUUUUCAUAAAAAUCAUUUUUCAUUUAAUCUAUAACAAACAUACCAAUAUCUUUAUUGUGUAGAUUACUUUUUCAGCGCAUUAAUUACCACUUUUUCCAUGCCAUAUUGCAGAAUUGUAGUACUGCUAGCUAGCUACGUACAAACCUUGGUGUUCUUAAUUCAUUCAUUGAAUCCAAACAUGAAGGUUGCAUUUCAUAUUACAUGUCUAACAAAUACAAGAGAUACAUACAUCAUAUGUAGUUCUUAGUAAAGUAAAACGUAAGAGUGAACAACCAAAGAUACAAAGCAAACAUGACAUGAUUGUGAUGAGGGAAUUUGAUUGCUACUCAUAUUUUAUUCAAUGCCGCAACACAACAAACCAUCAACCUCUUUAUAUGGAGAUACUAUUGGGAAUGUCUCUACAAGUCAAUCCUUUAUCACUAGAAGGAUAAAGCAAAGUGUAAGGCAUUUUCACUAGUCCACGUCGGUUUCUCAAUGACUCAUCAUUGUUCCUUUGAAUGAGCAUUUGCUCAAUUUUUGCCAACUUCUUUCCAAACCUCUUGAAAGCCUCAAUUGGUUGUGAAUCAGAAGUCCAAAGAUCACCUUUAACUCUUUGUCCAAGGUAUACAACAUAUGGAUAGUCCUCUGUUAAAAGACGAAUGUCGUGUGGAGAAGUUGAUCCUCAAUAGCCACUCUUCUAGAUAACAAGCAAGGAAGAUCACUACUAAAAAUUUCACUUUUAGUGACCGAUUUGGAGACUAAAUUUUUUCGAUCACUUUAGAGACUGAAUUAGAGACCAAAAUACAAAACUGUAUAAAGAACCAUUUUUUUGUCACUAAAUCGGUUGCACAUGAUAUUUAGAGACUGAUUUAAUGACUUAAGUUUUAGUGACAAAAAAAUCGAUCUCUAUUAUUUAUAUCUUCUUUUUAAUUAAAAUUGCUGGCAAAACUUUUAUUAAUGUCUAUUUUUGUUACAACACAUAUUUUUAUUACAUCACAUUUUUCAUUUGCGGCAUAUUUUGUUUUAAUUGGACAUAUCUUUGAUUUUGUUUUGUCUCAUCAGUUUCUCAUAAGAAAUCAUCUCAAAAUUUAAUUGAUUUGUGGACAUGAUUUUGUAUUUAAGUGUAUUACGUGUUUUUUUUUAUAAAUGAAUGAACAUCAAUGUUUUAGGAAUCACUAUUAGAAAAACCGAUUUUAGCGUCGGCCAAAAGCCCACACUAAUGUUGACUUGGCGUCCGAUUAGCGUCGGUGUCGGCCUAGGCUAAAACCGUCGAAGUCAAUAGCGUCGGUCAAAUACCAUCCCAAAGUAAAUGCAUCCAACACUAACAAAUAACAAUACCUUCAAAUUAGAAUCCGCUAGUUUAUAUCCUGAAAAAAUUCUAUUGCGUCGGAAUUACGGUCGACAAAUUAGUUAGCGUCGGCUACUCCGACGCAAUGGUCAACUAAUAAAGUAAGUGGACUAUUAAUAAAAGUCAACUUUGUUACUAAUAUAGCGUCGGGCAUGCCAAUGCUGCGAUCAACAAUUGAAACGUAAACAACAAAGAACAAAUCAAAUAAAUGUAGUUAAAUAUGUCACCACAAGCAUGAUAUAAUUGAUAAUGCAUAAAAAACACUUUAACAAAUGCCUAAUUCUUUCACCAGGUUCCAUUAUGCUUCAUUAUUAUAUACUUAUAUCAUAAAUCCCAGAUAGACAUCAAACAGAGAAAAUAAACCUUGCCUUGCAAAACGAGGUAAAGAACAACGUCAAAUUCUGUAUAAAUGCCUAAACAGAGGGUGCAAAAAAGCCAAGGUUAGACAUUGCAAACAAUUCAGGAAAUUGGGCUUCUUAUUGAGAUGAUGAAUACUGUUGCUUAUUUUUUAAAACCACAUGUAAUAAUAACUCAUGUAAAUUGUUGGUUUUUUAGAGGAAUGAGUACGCAUACAUGAAUGUAGUAUGUGUGUGACCCUCUUAGAUUCAUUAAGAUUAAUGUAUGAAAACAUUUAAAAGAAUAAUGAAAUAGAUUGCAGUAAAAAGAGCAUUACCAUUGCUCCCUUCAACAAUUCCUGCGGGUUCAGAGAGCUGCAAAACAUUGAUAAAUAUGUUUUAACAUAUAUCCAUGGCUAUUAGGUAAGUAAGACUUCAUUUGUUUUGAUUUGUUAUGUUGAUAUUAAUUUGCAUGAGCAUUUACAUUAAGUCGCUUGCACAUGAAAUAUUAAUUACUAAUAGAAACUUGCAGGCUGACCAGUCAAUCUUAGUGUCACAAGAACUAUACAUAAAUAAGAAUGAGGAGAGAAUUUUGAGAAACUUCAGCAAAGACAGAAUUUGGAAAUUGCACAUAAAGACAAAAGGAACAUAUAAAAUAUCAUAACAUAUAUUCCCCUUUGAAGUAUUACACACACACACAAAUACAAUCAAUUGAGCCAUGCACUCAGCCCCACUCAACUCCACCUAGUAAAAAGUGGUUUGCUUGUUGUUGACAAUGAUAAAGAAAUCUAAUUAUAGAAGCAAAAUUAGUACUGCAAGGCGCAAGCUAUAAAAGGCUUCACAAAUUGUCCGAGAAGAGAGGAUCACCACCAGCUAGCAAACGAGAUCCUCCUGUUUUCAGAUCAACUCUUGAUCAUUGGUACAGUAAGGACAUAAUUCGAACAACACAACCAUAAUUCGAACAGUACAGUCAAACCCUAAACCAAAACUGAACACAAACGACUUAGAUGGUUAAGGUUACAAUUACAUCGAGAAUGGAUGACAGUGAGAGUGAGCCUGAGAGACGAAAGUGAGAGUGAAUUUGAGAGACGAGAUUGAGACGGCGAAAGUGAGUCUGAGAGAUGAGCGGACGAGAGUGAGAUUGGGGGUGAGGCUGCGAGAGUGAAUGUGAGGCGAGGGAAACGGUGACACGGCGACGAAAGGGUGAGAGUGAAGAGUCAAGGGCGAGGGUUAGGGAAAAAUUAAUGAAGUGGGGAUAGGGAAAAUGGGGUGGGUGAGAGAUAAUAGGAAAAAAUAAUUUUAAUUUUUCAAAUAAGAUUAAAAGAUUUAAUUUUACAAAUCAGACAAUGUAGCGCCAGUCGACCUAAACGGCCAUAUUUUACUUAGCGUCGGCUAAGCCGACGCUAAUGUUUAAGCGGAAAAGAAAUUAAUGAACAUCAAUGUUUUAGGAAUAAAUGAACAUCAAUUUUAGGAAUGUUUGCAUAUAUUUGGGUUUAGAUAUAAGUCAACUAUAUAUUGUUUGAUUUGAUUCUAAAGAUGAAAAAAGGAUUUUGGAUAAGGAGCAGCAACAACCAUUCUAUCAUUGCAAACUCAUUUGAGUUUGUUAAGUUGCCAAUUGUGGCUAUAUAUUUUUGAUGAUUCAUUUGUAUUUAAAAUGAUUUGUUCAAUAUAUUCAGCAAAUAAUGCAUAUUAUUGGAAUUAGCACUGAACAAAGCAUAUGUUAUUUUGAAAAUGAAAAAAAUAGUGUUUUGAGGAGGAACUAUAAUUUCUCACCCGUUUGGAAAUUGUUUAACUUCUUAUUUCUCAAUCUAACACACUCACAUAUUAGGGCUAUUCUGUACGUGGUGUUUAGCUCUCAUUUAUGAGAAAAUUUCAAUGGCAACUUUAGGUUGUUUCGUUGGUUAGUAUGAUUGACUUAUUUAUGUUACAAACAAUUUUGAUUUGUUUUUUAUUGAAAAGCUUCUUUUCUUUCGUAUUGUUUUGUUCACUUGUACAAUGAUUGACUAUCUAUGUAUGCAUCUACAUUACCUAUAAAUCUUAUUUGGAUUUUAUCCAAAAGCGCUUCAUUUUCCUAAGGUUUAUGUGAAUUUUAGUUGCUAAAAUAUUUUCAUUGAAUUAUUCACUAAACUAAAAUUGAUUAGUCACUUACUAAUAUUAUGUAAAGUUUCAAAUAUUAAGAUUCUUCUAUUGUUGGUUAUUUUUAUCAACAACUUACAAGAUCACUUUUUUUAUUUAGGUCCCGCUGAGGAACUUGUUGAAAAACCGUUUGUUGUCAUAAAUUGGCCACAAUAUUCAAAUUUUAUAUUUUUCAAGCUAAAUACCCUAUCAAAAAGAAUUAUGAGAUAAACACUUAUUACAAAUAAACAUAAAAAAUAUGAGAUAAAUAUUUAUAAAAGAUAAAUUUAAAAAGCGCAUGAAUAAUAUUUAUCAUUAUUACUUUAAAAAAAUAUAAGACAAAUAUUUAUCACGAAAAGUAUAAAAAGCACGUGAUAAAUAUUUAUCAUUGAAAAAUAUAAAAAAUACCAGACAAAUAUUUAUUACUGAUAAAUAUAGAAAUACAUGAGACAAAUAUAUGUUAUUAAUAUAUAAAAAAUAUAUGACACAUAUUUAUCACCGAUAAAUAAAUAUAAAUAAAAAAUACGGAACAUAUAUUUGUCAUUGAUACAUAAAAACAACAUGAAAAAAAUAUUUAUCACAAAUAAAUAUAAAAAACACAGGAUAAAACUUUGUCACAGAUAUAUAAAAAGAAAUAUGAAAAAAAUAUUUGUCAUCGAUAAAUAUUAAAAAUACACACAGAAUAUAUAUUUUUCAUCGAUAAAUAUAAAAAAUUAUGGGACCAAUAUUUAUCAUUGAUACAUAAAAAAAAAUACAUAACUUAUAUUUGUCAUUAAUCAAUUUAUAAAAACAAUUGUGACAAAUAUAUGUCAUUAAUACAUAAAAUAAGACAAGAAAAAAAAUUGUUGAUAAAUUUAAAAAAGCACAAAACAUAGGGCAAAUAUUUAGUAUUAAAAUCAUACACGAUACAAAUAUUUGUCUUUAAAAAAUUAGUUAAAAUUAAUGUUAUUUUUAAUAUCUGAUACAUAAAAAUAAGAAUAAUUAUAAUACCGUAUUUAUAAAUAAAAAAAUAUACUCAAGACAAUUGUUUGUCAUAAUUAAUUAAUGAUUUAAAUAUAUAUUUGAUCAUCAAUUAUAGUAUUUUUUUAUUUUAGUCCUCAUAUGUUUUUUUGUUUGAUUCACAUCUCUCCAAAUACAUAUUCAUUUUAAAAUGGAGGGAGACAAUAAAAAUUAGAGUUUUCAGUUUUAGUUUCCCUUUAAAAAAAUAAUCAAAAAAUUAUUUUUUAUAAAAAAAUUUAUUUAAUACAUUGUGUCGUCAACUUAAUAUUUUAAUUACUUAAUGGUGUUAGAAUUUUUUUAUCAAAAAUUGGUCUAAAAGACUAUUUUAAAAUGAAUAUGUAUUUGUAGGAAUGUGAAUCAAACAAAAAAAUUUACGAUAACUAAAAUAAAUAAAUAAAAUAUUAUAAUUGUAAGGACUAAAGACGUAUUUAAAUCUUAAUUAAUUAAUUAAUUUUAAUUUAAUUAAUUAAGUUUAACUUACAUUUGUCUUUUUUGCUUAAUUUAAUUGGUUAUGCUUCAACAUUAUAGUAUCGUGCUUCGAUUAUAUCAAUUAAAUUUUUUGAUAGUAAAAUGUUAUAAUUUAUUUUAACAUUUAUGCAAAUAACAUAUCAUAAUUAUUUAUAUAAUAUUUAACUAUUCAUGUUAUAAUUAAGUGUUAUGUAUUUUUGUCCAAAUGACUUGUCCAAAUAACUGUGCCCAACCAAGUAUUUUUCUUUGUGCAUAGAGUAAUUUGCACUGUUGUAGUUAUUGAGUUAUUAUUUGUUUUGAAGUGAUUGAGUUAUUAUUAGUUAAGUUUAUUUUACUCAAAACUUUGUUAUUUGUUAUUUUAUAAGCAAAUAUAAAUAAUUAGUUAGAUUAUAUUAAUAUAUGAGAUCAAAUUUGAGAUAUUUUGAUUGAAAUGUUAUAUAGUAUAUAUAUAUAUAUAUCCCAUUAUGUUAGAUUAUUCAAUUAAUUAAUUAUUAUAAAUUAUGGCUAAUUGCUAAUAAAUAUUAAUUAAUUAUUAUAAAUUAUGGCUAAUUGCUAAUAAAUAUUAAUUAAUUAAUGAAUCUGUGUUGAAUUAUGUUUCUUAAAUCCAAUGAAAAGACUAUCCUUAAUAUUUUAUAGAAAAUUUGUCUUCGAUAGUAUAAAGUUGACCAAAAUACGUUACUAUAAAUCAACUUCUGUUGAUGUAUUAAGCAUCGGAGAGCAAAAAUAAAGGUGGAGGAAUACUUACCGACCUUUACACCAAUUUAUUUUUGUGUAAUAUCUUUUUUAAAAUAAAAUUGAUCGAUUUAAUAUUUGUUGAGAUAAUAUUAAUUUUAAAUAAAAAUUUAUUAAUAUUAAAUUUAAAAACAGUAGAAUAUAGAGGUGGAAAAAUCAAUCGAAUCGACAAUUUGUUUAUAUAAUUUAUCGAUCUCAGUUUUAAAUUUUAUACAUAAAAUACUAAAAUAUAUAUGUAAGGGAUUUUCGUUUUUAAUUUCAAGAUCCCUAAAUGUCUCUUACUAGAAUUAUUUUUUAUUUAACUAUUUUUCUAAAAGUUGAUUGAAAUUUUAUGUUUUUAUCAAUACAAGAACAACAUAUUAAUUUUUCACGUAAUUUCAUGAUAUGGAUUAAGAGAGAUAAUUUGUUUUUAAUUUUAAAAACUCUAAAAUGUCUCCUUGUUGUUUAAUUAUUUUUCUAAAUGUUAAUUGAAAGUUUAUAUUCUUAUGAUUAUUGCACUCAAAAUAUUAACAAUUACAUGAGUUUAUUUUAAAAUUGAACUCAAAAUAUUAACAAUUACAUGAGUUUAUUUUAAAAUUGAGAGAACUUUAAAUUCCAAUUUAACUGAUUUAAAAUCAAAAUCAACAAUAUAAAUAUUUACGAAUAUAAAAGACUUACUUAAAAAAUAAAAAAGGACUAACGUUGAAAGUUAAAAGAUAAAUCUAUUAUAUUCAUAUAACUUAAAAAACUACAAUAUAUAUUUGCAUAAAUAAAUUUAAUAAUAUAAUAUUAUUACUUUUUAAGGUAAAAUAUGAUUAGUUAGUAUUACUUUCACAAAAGAAAAUGAAAAUGAGGUGUAUUAGUGUAUGAUUAUUACCUAACAAUAUAUAUAUUGGCCAAACAAUUGGUUCCGGAAAAAUCAUAAGGGUGUAUUAAUACUUUUUCAGCACUAUAUCAUUUUUCUUCCAUACAAUAUUGCAGAUUAAUUCGCACUACUACCUUUAUAAAAGCAUAAGUAUUAUUCUAUGGUACCAUUUUGUAAGUUUUAUUUUUCAAACUCUCUAACACAUCACACAUGAUAUUGCAGUCUCUUUAUAACCUUUUACAUAGAAACUGAAUAGAAUGUAUAUGCAAUAUUGAUGCUUACGGUAGGACAAUUCACUACUAGAAAAACAAGCUUUAGCGUCGGCCAAGAACCCACGCUAAAAACAAAAGGCCGACGCUAAAUAUGAUUUAGCGCCGCAGCAGAGGCUCAAUCUAAAAGGCUCGAAGCUAGUCAUUCGCGUCGGCUUCUUGUCAUCGGACGCUACAAUCUAUGGCAGAAUGGCCGAAGCUACAUGUUGUGUCGAUGAAACCGACGCUAAAUAGCGUCGGUUAGGCCUACGCUAACAUUGAAAAUCCCAAAAAAUAUAUCGCGAUACAGAACCACGUAAUAUAAAAGCUGUGUUAAUAAAUCCACAACGCAAAUUACAAAUAGUUAUUACAAAAAAAUAUUAUUGCACACGAAAAAAAGAUAAAAUAAAUAAUAGUAUAUCAAACUUAGAUGAAAUUAAGGUAAUUAGAGAAUCGAAUGAAUAGCAUAGUCCACCUUAAAAAAAAAAAACGAUAAGCAAUUAAAUCUAGAUUUGAAUUUUGUCAUUUUUAAUUAGAACAUUGUUCACUUGUUCUAGAGUUCUAUAUAAAUACAAUGUGUUUUUCCACUCUCAAAUUCCUUCAAAUAUUACCACCAUUUCAUUAUAAAGGAAAAAAGAAAGUAUUUUCGGUCUAAAAUGAAAAAGUAUACGAUAAGACUUACUCUUAUUAAGGGGAUUAGCACAAGGUCUUACAAAUUCUCUAAAAUUACCUUACCCUCCAAGAUCAAGAAGGAGAAACUUUACAAACAACUUAAAAGUAAGUUUUUGAGGCCAUUUACUCAUGCAAAAUACAUAUAAACCUCAAUAAAAAUUUCACAUAAUCCCAUCUCAUAAUAGAACAUAAAAACUAAAAAAAUAAAAAUAACAUAGUACCUUUCCUUGAUAAAGAACAAAAGGUAGGAGAAUAAGAAAUGCAGCACAGGGAAAAGAAAAUGAUAAUGGUAAAACAUGUAAGACCCAAAGAUCUAAGAUAACCCAUAAGCAUAGCAUUCCCAUCAUAAACAAAUUGCACACCAUUUCCCUCCAAUUACAGCCACAUCUUCCAUCAUACCAUAACUCAUCAUUUUUACUCAUUUCUUAUAAUUCCAAAUUCCAAACAUGAGAGGAGUGAUUUAUAUUUUAGUCUAUCCUCUCUUUUAUAUCUCAAUUUCAAUUCCCUCUAUACUCAAUAAUUCUCUCUAUCAUAAAUCAUAUAUUAAACUAAUAACAAGAAAAUGAAUAUGGAACUAAUCAUGAGAGUAUUGAUGAUGUAUGCAAUCCAAGUCUCCACAAUAAAAGUUCUAUUAGUUUUGAAGUCUAAGGUCUACAUCACUAACACAUAAUCAACUAGAAGACAAUAAGUGCGAAUUUAAUACUUACAAGCUCAAGUUCCACAUCAAUAUGAGCCUUGUGGCAUGAGGUCUGGAACGCUCUUCUUCUUGGUGAAGCUCGACGAUCUUAUUUUGAUUGGAGAUGUUCUUGAAUUUUACGCCUUCCCUGUAAGCUUGAAGACAAAUCCAAGCUUCCUCACCUAGAAAAAAAUAUAUGAACUUAAGAAACAAAUCAAACAUGACAAUGUAAACAAUUUGUAAACUAGACAUAGAUUACCAAUGAUAAAUAAGGGUAACAAUAAGAACAAUCAACUUGUAAACUAGACGAUGAGAUCAAUAAUCUAUUACAACUUACAAGAACCUCAAAAUAUAGAUUAUGCAAGUAUCAACCAAUAAUUGUGAGUCAGAAUGCUUCCAUCAAUAAUCUAUUGCAACUUACAAGAAGCAAACGUGCUUUUCUUAUAAUGACACAAUAACUAAAUCCCUAAGUUACAUCUUUGUUCACAUAAGGUAAAAUUAAAAGGUAAGUUAUCAAACAUGCAAAUAAGGAACAAAAAAGCUUAACCUUGUUCAAUAUAAACAUUAAAUUUAAAUAACAAAAGAAAAUCAUAAGUCUAAUAAUCAUCAAUCUCAAUCCAAUGCUCAAAAUAUACUUUAGUUCAAUCAAGGCAGGUGCAGCUAAAGGUCUUACUGUUUCCAAAUCACACCAUAAUAAUGGAAAUAAUGAUCUUUUCAACGUGGGCUUCAUCGCUAGGUCUGCUGCAAAGAUUCAAGCUAUAGCUAAUAACAAAUUCAUCCUUCUACAUGAUGAGGACAAUGCAUGUAGCUCAAACUAGACUGUAAUUGAGGAUGAACUAGGGAUUAAUGUUAAUUCUCAAGGCUACAUCCCUCCAAAUGACAGUACCCUGUAAGUUACAGAGAUAUCAGAAACACCUUUGGAUGAUAUGACUACAAGAUUUGGAGUUGCACCCUCCUUAACAUUUUUUAGGAACACAAGGCACAAUUGCACCUUAUUAAGCCACAAUAAGAACAACAUUUAUCAACAUACAAAAUCAAUCACUAACAACAAUCAAAUGUAAACUAACCAUGAUUAUGAGACAUCACAUCCAGAUCCACUAAUCUGCAAUUCAAUCACAUAAUAGUUUCAUAUUUUUCAGACUUCAGUAAAAAGAACAGAACAUGGCAAUAUCAAAAAAAAUUAGGGUUCAAGGAUCAAAGUAGCUUACCUGAUGCUGCAAGAGUUGUGUGAGGGCUUCCUAGAAGAGAAGGGAGAAGUGGUCAUAUGACUGUGAAUAGAGGUCAAAAAUCAUAUUUGAACAAUGUAACAAUAAUGCUUUCUAAAAUAUGGGGUUUAGGAUUUUAUAAAAAUUGAGAGAAAAUGAAAGAUUAGAGUUUCAUAAAAAUUGUUCCUUUGAAACUCAAACUCGAGACUUUAGGAAAGAAAAACUCACCUUUGAAUAAAAUGAAGACAACAGUGGAGGAAGAAAAGUAUGGCAUGGCAGUGAUAAACCAAAACUUUCUGCAAAGAAAAAACUGGAAGGAAAUUAGAAUAGACAAGAAUGAGGGAAACGAGAGUGAUGAGAAUGAAUGAGGGAAAGAAAGGAAAAUCGUGAAGGUUUUUUUGGUGUGUGGGGCAAAAAGAAAGGGAUGAAGGGAGGAGAAUGGAAGGAAGAGAACUGGUGGAAAGAGACGAGAGUGGACGGUUAAAACCGUAUUUUCUAGCGGUUAUUAUUACCUAGAAUAUAACCCGGGCAAUACUUCAUAAUUCUAUAAAUAAGUAGUUAUUGUGAAUAAGAUUUUAAAAAUAAUAUAAUUUAUUUAUUUUAUUUGUAGAGUAAUUUUUUUAAGUGGAUUUAGUAGAGUAAUUAUUAUAUAUAAGUUGACAUACACACAUUUGAGAAUAAGUAAAAUGUUUUGUAUAGUGAAGAUCAUCCUACAAAUAAAAUUCAUAAAUUAUAUUUAUUGUUAAAAAUCUUAAAAAUAUUUUAAUAAAUAUUAAUAUAUAUAAUUAUCUACCACAAAAUUAUAUUAAUCAUGCUCUUCUUUUGUGUUGUCAAAAUAUUGUUAGAAAAAUAUGAAAAUAAUUUUAUCAUUUAGUAUUCAUUUCAUUAUAAUCUGUAAAAAAAACAAAUAAUUUUUUAAUCUAAAUGGUAAAUAGUUUUAUCUCAAAGACACAAUAAUAACACUCAUAUAAAGCUGAAUAUGGACAAUAUUAUUUGUCUUUUGAGAAGCCAACAUACGAUCAUGUCGUAGAUGAGAUCACAUAUGUCUCUAAAAACAAUAUUAUAACUAAGAACAAUCAAGAUUUUGAGAAAAAUGAACAAAUAAGUAUAAUAUGUUACAAAAUACCACUUACUCAAAAACUAUUUGUACAAAAAAAAACAAUUCCAACUAUAUCUACUUCUUUGAAAUAAUUGGGUUGCAAAGAGAUUUUCUUUUGAGUUGAUAAAGUGGAGUUGUGAAAACUUAUAUGCAUAAUGUUUUCUCAUGACAUUGACAAAUCUUAAAAGUUAAUAGCAUAAGUUGCGAUAUAUAAGUUAAUUGCAUGAUGCUGCGAAAUAAAAGAUAAUUGCAUAAGGUGUGUUAAAAUAGCUACAAGAAAAAAAUAUAUUGACCAUUUAAAUAUUGGAGUUUCAGUUACCAAAAUAUAAUGUCAAAAUAAAUAUUAGAGUUUCAGUUUUGUUUUUAAUAAAACACUAAUUGUAUAGAUUAUUUGAAGAAGUAGAAUAGUAUACGUAGAAGAAAAAAACUUAUAUAUUGAUUGUACUUAAAUUUGUAACUCAUGACACAUUAAUAGUUAUACAUACUAUUAUAUGUUAAAUAAUAAUAAUAAUAAUAACAACACAACAUUUGAUAAAGAUGUAGGAGUCUAUUUUAAUAUAUAUAAUAGAUAAAAUGUGUGUUAAAGCAAAAUGAAAGUUGAAUAAUAAAGAGAAUUUAAGCGGAAAAACCAUUUAGAUGUGGCACAUGAGAUUUUUGUUGAGGUGACAAUAUUUGAAUGAAAUGACAUAAUAUUAGAUGAUUUUUAAGUGGGAGUCUAUUUUAAUUUAAGAUUUUUGUUAAAGGGACAAUAUUUGAAUGAAAUGCCAUAAUAUUAGAUGAUGUUUAUGUAGGAGUCUAUUUUAAUAUAUUGUUUAUCUAAAAGAAAAAGGUUUAAAAACAUGUAAUGAUGGAAGAAGAGAUAGAUAAACCUUUAAAAUGAUUCAAUAUAUUAAUUGAUAGUUAAAACAUACAAAGAGGAAAAAUUGUUAUCAACAAAGAGGAAUAAUUGUUAUCAAUAAUGAUGAGGAAACACCGUUAAUUAUCAAUAAUGAUGGAGGAAUAAUGAAUGUCUAAUAAUUGAUAACAUAUUUAUUUAUUGUGUUGUAAUUUGUAACUUAUAGCAUAUGAAUAAUUUUACAAAAUAUAUAUGAAAAAAAUAAAUUGCAAGUAUGAUAAUAAGAAAGAGGAAGAAUCUUGUUAGACGUGCCACAUCAAUUUUUUUUUUAUGGGACAAUAUUUGAAUGAGAUGACACAAUAUUUGAUAAACACGAAGGAGUCUAUUUUAAUAUAUAUUAUAGAUACAUUUUUUUAAUUAUUAUAUAUAGAUACAUAUAUAUCACAGAUCUAGUUUGUUACAAGGUAAAACAAACACAAUAGUUCUUAUUGAUUAAAGUAAAACAUAAUUAAACAAACAUACAUGGUAAUGUAACCGUAGAUAAUGAGUGAGGGAAUUGAAUUCCUUCUCAUCUGUUAUUCAUAUUCAUAGUAGAAACACAACAACCAUGACCUUCUUUAAAUAGAGAUACUAUUGGGAAUGCCUCUAAAAGUCAAUCCUUCUUCACUAGAAGGAUAAAGAAGAGUGUAUGGCAUCUUCACAGGUCCAUUUCGAUUCCUAAGUGUCUCAUCAUUGUUCCUUUGAGUGAGCUUUUGCUCAAUUUCAGCCAACUUCUUUCCAAACCUCUUGUAGGCCUCUAUUGGUUGUGAGUCAGAAGUCCAUAGAUCACCUUCAAUUCUCUGUCCAAGGUAUUGCUCAUCAGAAGCAUGCCUUGACAAGACCUCUAUAAUGGUCAGGUCAGUAAGGGUAUCAUUCUUUGGUGUGAUUGUCCUCAAAUAUGUCUUUUGGUAGUUCUUAGCAAGUUCAUCAUACUCAGGGGAUCCUUUCUCAGGCAUAUAUCUCCUACUUUUAGUUGGUCG
rnacentral:lncRNA from 1 species